rnacentral:rRNA from 1 species
AUUGAACGCUGGCGGAAUGCUUUACACAUGCAAGUCGAACGGCAGCACGGGGCAACCUGGUGGCGAGUGGCGAACGGGUGAGUAAUACAUCGGAACGUGCCCAAUCGUGGGGGAUAACGUAGCGAAAGUUACGCUAAUACCGCAUACGAUCUACGGAUGAAAGCGGGGGAUCGCAAGACCUCGCGCGAAUGGAGCGGCCGAUGUCAGAUUAGGUAGUUGGUGGGGUAAAGGCUCACCAAGCCGACGAUCUGUAGCUGGUCUGAGAGGACGACCAGCCACACUGGGACUGAGACACGGCCCAGACUCCUACGGGAGGCAGCAGUGGGAAUUUUGGACAAUGGGCGCAAGCCUGAUCCAGCCAUUCCGCGUGCAGGAUGAAGG